GCCCGCCUAGCUCAAUCGGCUAGAGCGUCAGACUUUUAAGGCGGUGCUGCUGUUGAGAUCUGAAGGCUGCGAGUUCGACCCUCGCGGUGGGCU
rnacentral:tRNA from 1 species